UGAUGGUACAACACACAUGCAAUAAAUGAUGAUAAGAUAAUGAAGAUAAAUAAUAAUAGGUGAAUAAAUAAAGAUUCUGAGUCAGGCUAGGAGCACUAAAGUUAAUGAUAGUGAGUGAAUAUGCGCUAACAUAUUAACCUACACUAACUUUGGUGUCGAGAUAAACUCGGAUGUGGAUUUGGAGGAAUCUAAGAUCACCAGAAAUAGGUGGAUAUCUGAGUUAUGAACGCAUGAGACAGCACCAGCCCUCUUUGGAGCUCUGGAGGUUUGCAUACUUAAGUGAGACUGGUCCUUGGAGAAGAUGGAGCAGGUUCCGAAGGUCCGGGGCUACUGGCGGUUCGAGCGGUUCAACUCAGAAGACGACUGAAGUCAGCCGAAGGAUGAGCCAGGAGUUGCAGCACUCGGGCCCGAAGCAAAGCCAGCGCCUGUGGAUCCUGUGGAUGCUCGUUUGGGUACUUCUUUGGUCUCACUCAAAAACUCUGGCACAGAGGAUGACCUGGGCCUGCUGAGUUGCGUUCAGAGGUGACUUUGAAAUCACGCAGAAAACUCAGAAAAACGAGGCUCGAAGAGCAGAGAAAACUUUCAAAAAUGGCUUCGCGAAAUUAAAGAAAAAUCAAUCAAAGGCUUAAUCUUGAAUUGCUAUGUGCACAAAAAGUUGAAGUUUCAAAACUUGAACUAAGACGAUGUUAAAGAAAAUUCAACGUGAAUCAACACGUGGCGUAAAACUUAGUAGACUAAGAAAAAGUUCUAAGAGAAAACAAAGAAACGCACCACAGAAGGGUGUGGGCAGAAGAGUAGGUACAAGAAAGGAAGGAAUAAGAGAAUGAGAGCAACCCCACUUCACUGGUUUUAUCUUCUCACACUGGGAGUGGCUCCGGCGCGUGUGUGAGGAGACAGAGGAGGGUCGUGUGGUCUUUGAUUAUUCGAUCUAACUUAUUCUUUUGGCUGGUAAAAGAGUCAGAUCUGAUACUCACUCACUAUGAUUAAUAUUGAAUGCUAGGUUUCAUGAUAAAUAAUUUGACACUAAACACAUAUGAAUGAAGUGUAGGAUCACAUCAAACAUUCUCAUUAUGUUUUAAGUAUCACAUUGAACAUGCUAAAUUACUCUGAAAUGAAACAGAUAGUAACACAUGGAAACUGUGAACAACAAAAGAGUAAACACAUGUGAAUGAACUUCAUCAUGAUUAAUAAUGGAUUCUAAAUACUCACAUUCAGGUUAUUCAAUGACAUUAUAACCACCUAAUGGUUAAAAAUACUAAAUAAACAACUACAAUAUAAACCAAACAUUUCUAAACUGUUUCUGUUACUUAGAGUAAACUUAGGAUUCAUAGUCAAUAAAUUUAACUCUUAAAAGUUCAUGAAACAGUCUGAAAAGCUGUUGGUCUAAAGAAACUAAAGAAUAAAGGAUUUAUUCUGUCACAGAGCUAACUCUGCUUCUGUAGCACAUAGAAAAAUGGGAAACAUCUCAUUUUAACACAAAUUUCAUGAUUAGACAGAUUAGUACAUUGCUGAAUGCACAAGAUGUCAGGAUCAGUCAUUUGUAUUCUUUCACCAAAGGAAUGUAGUCUUUAUCAGUGUAUGGUCGAGCAGGGUUUUACGAACGAGGUCUGGAGGUCAGUGUCCCCCCCUUUUCCUGGGGUCCGUACGUUCACACACUUUAAGACGCUAAAUCUCAAAUGGGAGAUCUGGGUUGAGACGUUAAUGUUUAUUUAGAUGGUCAGUGAUGGAGUCAGUUUAAAAGGUAAUAAAAACUCUGUCUCUGUUCUCCGAAUUGACCAAUCGUGAAGAGUCAGAAGUUUGGUCAACCUCCGGUUGGGUCACUUAUUUAACCUGAAAGUGUAAACGAGUCUGGAAAGAUUUAUAUCCCGUUUCCUGGGACCAGAUAAGGAAACUUUCCUCUGAGGAAUGUGUGGGUUUCACACCCAGGGUUGUCUUGAUUGCUACAGUCCCCCCUUCGUCACGGUGGUCCUGUCCAUGGAGCAUCGGGACGACGAGUAGACAACCAUGAAGCAGCAGCAGCAGCAGGUGUAUGCAAAUAGGACUGAUGCGUCUCGUCAUCACUAUGUGAAUCACUAGUACUGCUUUGAGAUAAAAUUAAGCAUGCAUUAAGCUAUCAAAUAAAAUCGUCUAGUUGUUAGACUUUUCUCAGUUAACUAUUGGUAGACUAAUGUGAAAGAAAAUCUCCUAAUUUUCAAUAUUAAUGAGAUUUAGAAAAACACGAUUUAGUGUGAAUGCUAACUGGAUCUAAAGAUAUAGCUCUUAUUCAUGCUUGCUGGAGAAGUCUGAAAGUUCCAUUUCAGUUUCAAAAAUGGUUAAGACUUAGGUGGAAAAGAAAUGUCUGCUAUAGACAUAUUAACCAUCUGUGUAUGAGCAUAGUCAACCUGAAUCACAAACAUCAGAAGUUUACUGCACAGAGUUUCUCUUAACAUUGUCUGUUAAACUUGGGGAUGAUGCUCUUAUUGGUUUGACUAAUUAUCUGCUGUUGAGUCUGAAAUUUGUCAAUCUGAGUCUUGAUGACAGAAAUUUCUGGUUUUAAUCUGUUCAUGGGAUAUUUGACAGCUGACAAGCUGACCAUAUUGACAGAGGAGAGACAAAUGCUAACAAAGAAAGCAGCAACGGGGAUUGCAGUCAUCAAUGUAUCACCACAGCAUUUGGAUAUCUUAUUGGAGUCAUUCAGCUUUGGCUGAGUGACUUCUGCUUUCGCAGGACUCACACCUUCAUGACUCCGCAGUGUUAAUCUCAGUGGUUAGCUGAGUAGUCAUGUUUAUUCACCUUCAAAGUGGAUGAAACCGAUUGAGGUGGAUAAUAAGAUCGUCGUUUCUGAGAGUGUGAUUUACUCUGAUUCUGCCAGUCAUUCACCCCCCUUUGGCGGUGUUGAUGGUUUUUCCUUUGUCUGGGAUAAAACCCACCGUGACGGGAGUCUGAAUAACAACAGUUGGUCUUAAAGUUUACCUGGCAUUGGUCUGUGUCAGACCUGGGCCUUGGUGUGUAACUUUGACCUUUGUGAGUUUGUUGAGGUCGAAAAGGUUUUGGAGGCCUGGUUAACCACUCAUGUGGAGGCUUAUCGGAGCCUGAAAAUACACAGUCUGAAGCUUCGUUCAGCUCCAUGGGCAGUGAUUUUGUCUCCAUAGCCAAGAGAGUAACGGGCUCUGCUUUCUUAGCCAAAGUUUGUCGUUGUUUGGCAAAACCUUUUACAGCAAGUUCACGAAGCUGUCAGCUAGUGGAAGUGUUUGGACAAGCUAAGACGCCAAGGUGAUGACUGGUGGUAGGGUGGAGGUUCUGGACGAACAGCGUUUUGAAGUUCAAGUCCUCCAUUUCUGGUUCAUUUCGGAAACCAAAGUAAGCUUCGCGUAAGCGGUUGUAAUAUUGUUGGGGAGGUUCUGAUCUCUCUUGUUUAAUAGACAGAGCAGCAGAGAGGCCUGUCUGGGUCAAAUGAUCAGAAAACUCUUCGAUUAAUGCUUGGCAGAGCAAGUCAUAAUUAUUUCUGACAUGAUAAGGCUGUCGUUCAAGGAAACUGCUAACCGACUUGACUUGACGUUGCCUUAAUAAGGUAGAUUUUGUCAUCAAUGGUUGCACCUGGAAAUUUCCGCAGGUAAAAGUCAAUAUCUUUCAAGUAGGUGCAGGUGUCAGUAGCACCUUGGUGCUCAGGUUCAAAGCGUGCUAUGUUACGAGCAAUUUUGUCAAGAUCCCUGUCUGAGGGAGAUGGUAAGAAGCCAUCAUGAGGACGAGAGUAGGACUUUUGGUUUAAGGAUGACCUCUCAGGGUCAAGCAGGGUCCUGUCAUGAUGCUGAGAGAUAUACUUAAGAGUUGGUUUGGAAGGAAGUGAUGGCGCUCUCUCAGGAGGCUGAUCACCUAUCAUUUCUUCAAGAAAAGUUUGCUCCAUACGUUCUCUUUGGGUUCGACCUGACUGGAGGGAGCAUUGUAACUCUCUUUGCGCAUCUUCAAGUUCUUUGUCUGUCUUUUCUUGCCGUUCUUGACAAAGAAUUAACUGUCUUUGAGCUAUCUGGAGCUGGUGCUGUAAGGUAGAAGUUUGCUUCUCCUUAACUUCAAGAGCUUCAGCACGCACUUUGACCAGUGCUUUCAAAGCUUUUACAUCUUCUGUUGCUUGCUCUAGUAGGGAUUCUGACUGUAUCAGAUCCUCUGUGGUCUUAGCAAGCUGCUUAUUUGUGUCAUCAAGUUCUUUCUCCUUUUUGUUAAGGGUUUCAUUAAGUCUUUCAAUCUUGUCUUUGAGAUCAAGAUUUUCUUCAUGACUUAUCAGUGAGGGAAGCUUUGACGCUUCACAUCUGGCACUGUGUUUUUCUAAAACACUUAGAGACUUCUUAGUCUCCUCUAGCGUCUUUUUCAGAGCGCUGUUUUUGUCUUUUUGCAUCUUUAUCUUUGCUAAAGCGCAUUCCAGCAAGUAGUCUUUAUACUCAAGCUGAGAAGACAUCACGACAGACAUGCGUCUAGUGAGCUCUUUGUCACGAAGUGUCGUGGUUAAGGCUGUUUCCAGUAGGUCAGCCAUUUCAUCCUCUGGAUUGGAGGGUUUGGCCUUUUUAAUCUUAGUCAUGUACUGAGGUAUCAGCUGACUAGUUAAGUUUGCUAACACUGUGUGUAUGUCCCUCAGGGGGUCUCCCUGGCUGGACUCUUUCAUGUUAGGCAUGUUUGGUUUUGGUAAAGAGGUGCAGGUGGUUGGUUGAUGAGUUUGAGUUGACUUAAAAUGAAAGGAAGAAGCAAAAUAUCAAAUUAAGUGAGUUAAUCGACUUAAUUUAUCAGUGCUUGAUAAAGAGGAAGAGCCUAUCUGAGUAGAUCUCUAAUGUAGAGAAAAAUAACAAGGUUACAUUCACUUCAAUGAAAAUUGAAAAAGUGAAAUUAUGUUAAAUUAAAUUUAACAUCAGAUACAGAACCAUUGAAUAAAGGGUUCAGUUUGUCUCCGUGUUGCAGAGAUCAGCAAAGCUUAAAUAAACUGCCUGAUGCAGUUGGAUGAAUUUGAAAAAUCAAUGAAAUUGUCAAUUUAAGGAAUUAACUCUGAAAUUAAUUCACAAAUUGCAAUAAAUCCAAAGGUUGAACUACCAAAUCUAUCUGGAAUGUUAAAAGAAAUUUGAAAUAUUAAUUAAUUUGUUCGUUAAUUAAUUAAUUAAUCUUAUGAGGAGGGUUAAUACAUUCAUGUAUUAUGGGGAACAGUAAACUGCUCAAUGGUGUGAUAAGUAACAACAGGAUCAGGUGAUUGAUUCAAGGAGUUACUUUAUCAAUACAUCAUGGAGGCUCUUAUAACAUAGAAUAGAAUAGAAUAGAAUAGAAUAUUCCUUUAUUGAUCAGUGAUUUAGAAUAAGCACAUCAAACUUCAUCGACCAAGUCAAUCACUUGAAUUAUGUCUGUAGAGUGUUACACACUGACUACAGAGAGGCAGAACAGCUGGCUGAUACUGCAGGCAGAUAAGUGUUAGCUCAAUACCAAAAGCAACCAUGUGGGGCAGUAUGGAGUUGGGAUAACUGCACAAGCUCAACACAAGUGGAGAAGAAGAAGAAAAGAGGAAACAGUCAUCCAACUAGCCUCUUGUGGCUGUGUGGUGUUGGGAAGUCUGAAGGAAGGGGCCUUUAGGCUCUGCCUCCUUGAAGGGCCUUAUCUGCUUAAGGCCAAAUGGUCAGUCUCUCCACUGACAACAAAGGGUUAACAUUUCACAGCAGGAUCGUCUGCACCCUCAAACAUAGAACUUUACACCAUCUGCUCAGGCAGAUUGGUUCAAUAAAAUCAUUUACAGGAACAAGAAUCAAAGUGACAAAUCACUCAACAGCAGAUUCAACUGCAGACUUUAAAAUCACAAAUGCGGCGAUUCGUGAUCACGGAUUUUGUCUGAAUUCAUUCAAACACCAACCUCCCACUGUUACAGUGGUUUCCUGUGACAGAUAGCUUAUCUGUCAGGGAAAGGAGGAAUCGUCUGCACCCUCAAACAUAGAACUUUACACCAUCUGCUCAGGCAGAUUGGUUCAAUAAAAUCAUUUACAGGAACAAGAAUCAAAGUGACAAAUCACUCAACAGCAGAUUCAACUGCAGACUUUAAAAUCACAAAUGCGGCGAUUCGUGAUCACGGAUUUUGUCUGAAUUCAUUCAAACACCAACCUCCCACUGUUACAGUGGUUUCCUGUGACAGAUAGCUUAUCUGUCAGGGGAAAGGAGGAAAUCUGAAUCCCAUGUAGUUACUAGAACCUCGUAGCAGACUACAGAGACUUCAGGGGCUUGAAACCACAGCUCGGAGCAUCGCGAACACUGGGUUCAGCCAAAGGCCUUAAAUACAAGCGUACAGCGACGCAACAAUCGUGCACUUAAAUAUUGGACAGUUUAGACAGAGCAGAAGAAGCAGUCUCACUGCUACUCAGAACAACAUUUCACGCUGUCCAGCUCAAACACAGACUACAGGCAUGUAGUACAAGAGUGUGUAAAACACAGAGCAUAAAGGUUUUAUGCAUAGAUCAGGAAAACAUCAGAACUUAGUCAAGCAACUUCAGCAAGAAUAGCAUUGAUUGUGAUUAAGUCUAAAAUAGCCUGGAAAUAAGUUUCUCUCAUCAAUUUGGAAGGCUAAGUUUUAGGUUGUCUGUUAGUAUCCAGAAGUUUUGUUUGAAACGCCUCACGCAGGGGCACCAAAAUAUAUGUAGUGAUUUAAAUGAGCCUCACACGGUCGCACCAAAAUAUAUGUAGCGAUUUGAAAUGAGCCUCACAAGGCCGCACCAAAAUAAUACUGUAGCGAUUGGAAUUUAUAAUAAAUGUCUGAAGAUUAAUAAUCUCAAAUUAUGACAUUUAUGCACUCGUUGAAAGGGGCACCACCCACCCUUAAUGGUGGGAAAAUAAAGAAAACAAAAGUUUAAUUCAGAAAUCAAACAUCAAGUCAGUUUUAAUUAAUCAGUCUUAAUUAAUCAGUCUCAUAUCUUAAGUCGAAAUUCUAAUUUCAGGGACUCCACUUCUGGAAGAACACUAACAGACAGGAACUUAGAAAAAUAAUGAUCUGUUUAUUACAGGAUAAAUGAUGGUACAACACACAUGCAAUAAAUGAUGAUAAGAUAAUGAAGAUAAAUAAUAAUAGGUGAAUAAAUAAAGAUUCUGAGUCAGGCUAGGAGCACUAAAGUUAAUGAUAGUGAGUGAAUAUGCGCUAACAUAUUAACCUACACUAACUUUGGUGUCGAGAUAAACUCGGAUGUGGAUUUGGAGGAAUCUAAGAUCACCAGAAAUAGGUGGAUAUCUGAGUUAUGAACGCAUGAGACAGCACCAGCCCUCUUUGGAGCUCUGGAGGUUUGCAUACUUAAGUGAGACUGGUCCUUGGAGAAGAUGGAGCAGGUUCCGAAGGUCCGGGGCUACUGGCGGUUCGAGCGGUUCAACUCAGAAGACGACUGAAGUCAGCCGAAGGAUGAGCCAGGAGUUGCAGCACUCGGGCCCGAAGCAAAGCCAGCGCCUGUGGAUCCUGUGGAUGCUCGUUUGGGUACUUCUUUGGUCUCACUCAAAAACUCUGGCACAGAGGAUGACCUGGGCCUGCUGAGUUGCGUUCAGAGGUGACUUUGAAAUCACGCAGAAAAACGAAAUUAAAGAAAAAUCAAUCAAAGGCUUAAUCUUGAAAGUUUCAAAACUUGAACUAAGACGAUGUUAAAGAAAAUUCAACGUGAAUCAACACGUGGCGUAAAACUUAGUAGACUAAGAAAAAGUUCUAAGAGAAAACAAAGAAACGCACCACAGAAGGGUGUGGGCAGAAGAGUAGGUACAAGAAAGGAAGGAAUAAGAGAAUGAGAGCAACCCCACUUC